rnacentral:rRNA from 1 species
GAUGAACGCUGGCGGCGUGCUUAACACAUGCAAGUCGAACGGAAAGGCCCAAGCUUGCUUGGGUACUCGAGUGGCGAACGGGUGAGUAACACGUGGGUGAUCUGCCCUGCACUUCGGGAUAAGCCUGGGAAACUGGGUCUAAUACCGGAUAGGAGCACAUGUUGGAUGGUGUGGUGGAAAGUUUUUCGGUGUGGGAUGAGCUCGCGGCCUAUCAGCUUGUUGGUGGGGUAAUGGCCUACCAAGGCGUCGACGGGUAGCCGGCCUGAGAGGGUGUACGCCCACAUUGGGCCUGAGAUACGGCCCAGACUCCUACGGGAGGCAGCAGUGGGGAAUAUUGCACAAUGGGCGCACGCCUGAUGCAGCGACGCCGCGUGGGGGAUGCCGGCCUUCGGGUUGUAAACUCCUUUCGCUAGGGACGAAGCGCAAGUGACGGUACCUGGAGAAGAAGCACCGGCUAACUACGUG